UACGAAGGGGGCUAGCGUUGCUCGGAAUCACUGGGCGUAAAGGGUGCGUAGGUGGGUUUUUAAGUCAGGGGUGAAAUCCUGGAGCUCAACUCCAGAACUGCCUUUGAUACUGAAGAUCUUGAGUCCGGGAGAGGUGAGUGGAACUGCGAGUGUAGAGGUGAAAUUCGUAGAUAUUCGCAAGAACACCAGUGGCGAAGGCGGCUCACUGGCCCGGUACUGACGCUGAGGUGCGAAAGCGUGGGGAGCAAACAGG
rnacentral:rRNA from 1 species